rnacentral:lncRNA from 1 species
AAAAAUAAAGUUUUUUAGAGAGCCUUGAGGAUAUCCUCUGCGCUGGAAACCGUGAACUCGCCACCAGAUUCGACAUUAGCUACAGUCACCUUAAGGUUAUCGAGCAACAAAGCGAAUCUCCUUGACCUAAUACCAAGACCCUUGUCCUUAAGGUCAAGCUCAAGUCCAAGAAGAUGUGUGUAUUCUCCAGACCCAUCUGCUACAAACUUCACAUGCUUGUUCUCUGGGUAUGUUUUUCCCCAUGCCUUCAUCACAAAUGGAUCAUUCACUGCAACAACAGAUGCAAAUCACGGCCUAAGUCUACUAUACACAAACUCAAAGAGGCCAAAACAGAGCAAAGAUUAAAAAAAAAAAAACCAUAUUAAUUCAUACUUACCACUAAAGCAAAUGAUCUCAUCAAUACCCUUUGACUUCAGCUCCUCUGCUUUCCCAAUGAAUCCAGGUACAUGGCUCAUACUAUCCUCACAAAAACCAAAAACAGAAUUCUCAAAUCAAAAUCUAAGGAUCCAUCACCUUAGAAUCAAAACCCACUUCAGUUUGAAACUUUUCUUACCUGCAAGUGGGAGUGAAAGCACCAGGAACACCAAAGAGAAUGACUUUUUUACCGGCGGCGAUAGAGUGAACGGAGACAGUUUGAAGCUGAUCAUUUUCAUCGAAGAAAGAGAUAGUUCCGUUUGGUACAACAUCGCCGACAGUAAUUGGAGCCAUGAAGAGAUCUCUGUGGUUUUGAUGAAGACAGGGGAAAAUAGAAGAGUUUUGUUUGACUUGAGAGGGAAAAUGAAUUUAGGUCUUAGGACAAUUUAUAGUGUUUUACGGAAUGAAGUAAAUUAUUAAUAGAUUUCUAAAUUUAGUUUGACCAUAAAAAUAUAAUGGAUUUUCUAAAAUUAUAAUUUAAGAAAAAAAUGUAGAAGUAAAAUUAGAACUAAUAUCCAAAAAUAAACUUUGUUUUCCAAAAAUACAACAAUCUUUUUUAGGAAACCCUCACUAAUAAACUCAUAUGCAAGAACAUGUAAAUAUAUUUUAGAAAACAUUGUAUGACAAUUAAAAUUGAGUUUUUUUUUUUUUUAUAACUUUUUAAAGCAAUUUCAAAAAGAGUAAUUACACUACAUACCGUAAGACUGAGAAGUAUUUAAGUCAAAUGAUCAGUGGCACGUUCGUAAAUAAGUGAUUCUUUGUAAACAUGACAAAAAAACAUAAAUACCCUAAAACUAAAUGCUUCGUUCCUUCUUCCUUCCUUUUUGUUUCUCUUUCCUUUUCUUAUUUUUUUUUCUUACUUUAUGAAAACCUCAAACAAAUGAUUCUUCUUAAUUGUGAAACUGAUUGCAUAUAAAAUUAUGAUAUUUUUAAUUCAUUAAAUUCGUCGUAAUUUUCUGAUCAGAAUGCACUCAAUAAACCUUACAAAAUUCUCGGUACAAAGACGUCAUAAAUUUGAUGUCGUUCAUGUUAUCGAUGGGCAUAUAUAAAAAAUGAUUUGGGAAUCCAUCAAACCGGCGAUGCUAUCAUUGACCAGUGAUGGAUAAACAUAUUUAUCUCCCAAUUCAUUCGUUGUCACCGUCUUCCACUUAUGUUGUCUCAUUAUACUCUCUUUUCCAUCCCACCAUCACCACCUCCUCCUCCACCGCUAACAUAUUCUCUGCUCACAUCACCAUCACCACCUUCUUCACUAAGAUACAAUCCACCACAUCCACCACAAUGUCCUAUAUAUAUAUUGAUGUAUCAUAUGUAAACAACAUUACUGAAAUAUUACGAUGUAAGAUAUAUAUCCAUGUAUGCGAUAAAAAAACAAGAUAUCACGAUACGUAAUUGCAUAGCAGAAUAUAUUAUCGAUACAUGCAUUUAAUAAGUGGUGGCCCUCUACAGAUUCCCUGUCGCAUCUGUCUCCUACGAAAUUAUCUCCCUUAUAUUUUGGAAGAUAUUUUCGUCCAGAAUUUGUUACUAUACCAUUUUCUCUCUUGUUUUGCAAAUAAUAAAACUUGUGUAUGUACUUGCAAAUUAUUUCUCAAAUAAUUAGCAUACAGCUAAUUGGCUCUUUCAAAAAUCCAUAUUAGAAAAAAGAAAUGCAAUGAUAUUCAAUGGAUGAGAAACAAACAUGAUAAAUGUAUAAUGUAUUGAAAAAUUAAUAUCAUUUCUUAAACAUGUGCACUGGGAAAAACUUCUCUUAGUCUCUCAAAUAUAUCAUUUUAAUAACUUUUUUUAUAAUUUCUUUUUUAUUUAAAAUUUUAACUAUAAAUAAAGUAUGUUUAGACAUGUGUCAAAUAGAUUUCUAUAAAUGUUCUCAAAAUCUCUCAAACGAAAAACUCACUUUAUUAUCUUACUUUUAUGGGUGAAAGACUUAGUGAGAGACUUCCACUAAACAUAGAGACACAAACUUAUCAAAGUUUGAUUAAGUGGCAAGACAAGCCCAUGUAUUAAAAAUGAUCCCAUUACCAACUAUUCUUACCAAAAACUAAGAUAACCUAACUUUUUGGUAUGUGUCUACCAUAGUCCAAAACAACAAUGGAAAGAUUUGGUAUGCAUCUUCACGUGAAUUACUCAUAUCUUUCAUAUAAAUCAACGCAAAGAAAAACACCAAAACCAAAUACUUUAUUAUUCCAACAAAGUCACAAUGACACCACUUUAUUAUGCCUGCUUGUUGUCUGAAAUCAGGCUAUAGAUAAUAGAAUCCUCUACUUCACAUACAGCGGUUUACAUACACAAUACAACAAACGAGUGGUAAGUUUCUUAGAGAGCCUUGAGGAUAUCAUCGGCGCUGGAAACCGUGAACUCGCCACCAGAUUCGACAUUGGCUACAGUCACCUUGAGGUUAUCAAGCAACAGAGCAAAUCUCCUUGACCUAACACCAAGACCCUUGUCCUUGAGGUCAAGCUCAAGUCCGAGAAGGUGUGUGUAUUCUCCAGACCCAUCAGCUACAAACUUCACAUGUUUGUUCUCUGGGUAUGUCUUUCCCCAUGCUUUCAUCACAAACGGAUCGUUCACUGCAACAAUCGAACCAAGUGAUAACGCGUCAAUAGUAUAAAACCAUUUGAAUCAGUCUACCAAACAUUUCACAUCGCCAAAUACAAAAACCAAUACGCUGCAUUUUUUUUUACAAUCUAUUACUAAGGACACCAACUACCAUUAGCCUUGAGCUUUGGUAUGUUUGACUAGCAAGCGAUCAGAUUUUAGAAGUAGACACAAACACAUAGAGGCAGAAAUCAGUACAGAUUAUACCGAAGAACAAACCUGACAUCAAACCAUAUACAAAUGUAUAGUUCACUGCAACAAUACUAUAAAACUAAGCAGCAUAUAUAACGUCUGCGAAAACAUUGCACAACAAGCAGACUCAGCCAAAUACAAUAACCAUUCUAACUGUAUAGUGUAUACUACACAAUUUAAAAUUAGGGACACCAACUACCAAAUGAAUCUAAUAAAUGGGCUACCGUGAGUCCAUAUACUCGGUAACCAGCCUCGGAAUCUCUAAAGACCCUUCAUUUACAAGGGCUAAGAACAUAUCAUAACCUAGAGCUAGAGGUUUCACAAACUCAUCACUGAGGUUAGAACAGAGCUGAGAUCAAAAACCUAUCAUUCAUACUCACCACUAAAGCAAAUGAUGUCAUCAACACCCUUUGAUUUAAGCUCCUCUGCUUUCUCAAUGAACCCAGGAACAUGCUUCAUGCUAACCUCACAAAAAACCAAAAACACAAUUCUCAAAUCAAAUCUACAGACUCAUCAGCUUAGCACCAAAACCCACAUCUUAUACAACUAAUUCGAUGGAUAAAUCUGAAGAAACUAAUUUGAAUCGAGAACAAGAAAAAAGAUCAAAACUUUGAAUGCAAAUUUGAGAAUUAAGUGAGAGAUGAUGAAAAAGGUUGAAACUUUGUACCUGCAAGUGGGAGUGAAAGCACCAGGAACACCAAAGAGAAUGACUUUUUUACCGGCGGCGAGAGAGUGAACGGAGGCGGUCUGAAGUUGAUCAUUCUCAUCGAAGAAGGAGAUUGUUCCGUCUGGUACAACAUCGCCGACGGUGAUUGGAGCCAUGAGGAGAGAUCUCUGUGGAUUUGAAGAAAGGGGAAAAGUGAAAGUGUUUGGACUUGAGAGCAAGACUGAGAGACUUUUAGGGCUUUCGGACAAUUAUAUCAGCGUUUUCAGGAAUGAGAUAAAAUGGAUAAAAAUGAUUAUUUCUAAAAUAAUGAUUUUAUUAGAUGCAAAAUCUAAAACAAUACCCAAAAAUAAACUUUAUUUUCUAAAAAUACAACAAUUUUUUUUAGAAAACCUUAAUAAAUUUUAGAAUUCAUUUUUUACAGCUGAUUUACAACGGAUUUUUCAAAUUUUAUGAAAAUUUCUAGAAUAAUUAUUUUUUAAGCUUGAAAUCUGAAAAUAAUUGAGAUUUUUUGAACUUUCUGUAUUAUAGGAUGAUUCAAAAUAGUUAAAAAAAGUUCAAACAUAGAAGAUAUGAGAAUCGUAAUUUUAAAUCUGAAAUAAAUCUUCUAAAUAUCUAUAUUUUUAAACAUGAAAUAUCUGAUUCACAAUUUCGGAUAUGUUUUGAUUCGAUCCAAAAAAAUAUGGAAUAUCCGAUGUAAGACUUUGAAGUAAAUUUUGUAUCAGGUCGGAUACCAAAAACUCGGAUAAAUUUUUAAUCUACCUGAUUCAAAAUGUACUUCAAAAAUAUUAGUAUAGAUAAGUAUAUUUUUAAUUUUUAAAUCUCCUAGAUAUGUAGCCCUUAACAUUGAGAUAUUAAGCAGUAAAGUUACGAUGGACGCAUGCUUUCCCACAAAAUAUGAUCUUGUUUAAUUCUUUGGUUAGAGAAAACAAAAUCUUUUAUUUUACAAUAAAUUCUGAGAUUUGUUCUACAUAAUCCCAGUCACAAACGUUCGGAGGCAUCAAUGUGCGUUUGGGCAGAACCUAUGGUACAGAACGGGUCACAUCACGAGUUUGGCUCGAGACUUGAGACGUCACACAAAUGAAGUUAUAUUUUUUGAACAAAAAAAACGAAGUUAUAUUUAGGGCAAUUUAAUUACUAUUCGAGUCAACGAAUAGAUAGCCCAGAGUUAUUGUGAAAAUCGAUCCACAACCACUUGGUGUUUAGAUUUUUCAGUGUUUUUUUUGUUCAAUCUAGUAGAAAACACGAUUUAAAUUCAAAAUUUAAAUAAGCCAACUUGGUAACUAGUGUCUAACCCCUUAAUCAAUAUAAAAAAAAAAAGAAGAUAAUGCCUAACCCGAAAGAUAAACGCAAAGUGAAACUCUUAUCCCAAAUCUAAACAAUAACAAGGGUUAUUCAAUCACGGAGUUAAAAUCAUUUCUUUAAGGUUUAGAUUUACUUUCUGAUAUUGUUUUUAAGAAUCUGUUUGUGUGGAUUUCAAAAUCUCUGCAAUAUAUCUUGGAUUUUGAUUAUAAUAAUUUACUCAUGAAACUCUAAAGAGGUUUUAUUUCAAAUGAUUUAAUAUACAAAGGGCAUGAUUGGUUGGGCUGUAAGAGAUGUUUAAAGCCACUAAAAAAGCUACAACCCCGAAAUUGAAACAAUCAUGUUGUAAUUUUCCUAUUUUUUCUCACAGCCCAAACAAUAUUUUUUAAUUAUUUUGGCUGUAAGUACAAAUUUUUCUACAGCACAAUUUUAUGGUCUUUAGAAGAGUUGUACCUUUUUUUCUUCUUUCCAAUUUAUUUUCUAAUUUUCUUUUAAAAAGUAAUUAUUGUUUCAUCGAUAUAUAUAUUAUGAAAAUUUAUUUUUAUGGAUAUAAGUAGUAGGUAAAAAUCUAUUUUUUUGACAUAUAUAUAUAUAUAUAUAUAUAUAUAUAUAUAUAACUCCUUUUUGGGUCAAACAUAUAUAUAUAUAUAACUCACAUUGGUUUUUAAUAUACAUCAUAUAUAUGUUUAUCAUAACUUAUUAAAUUGAUAUUUGAGAAAUUAUAUAACAUGUAACUACUAUUUAUUAAUCAUAUUUUUUGUUUAAAAAUACAUAGGCCUAAAACCUACGGCUACAGUCAUUACACCUACAGCAAAAAAAUUAGUACUAAAUCUACAGCUACAGACGAACCAAUCAUCCACAAAGAUUUUACAAGUCUUUUAGUUUUGAAUAACACUGGAUUUUAAUAAAGUAUUUUAAAUCUUAGUUGAAUAACAUCAAACUUUAAAAUCUCUUAAACAUGAUUUACAAAUAUAAGAUCCAAUAACACAAGAUUUUAAAGUUAGAUUUAAAAUCAUUAGUUAAAUAAUACUGGAUUAGUGUUAGAUUUUAAUUCUAUUAAAAUCAAUCAUUAAAUAACAUCACCUUAUAUCGAAACCCUUUGUUUUAGGAGUGAAUCCUUAGGAAAAUGGGCCAAAAAUAAAUCAAAAAUGUGAGAAAUAUUAAUAUCCGUUUCUUAGUUUAGAGUUUUUUCUGAUUUUAACAGGCGCAUAUGUGGCACGUUGUCAUUCGUUGGUAAACAGAUAAAAACAAAAAGGCUCACCUUUUUCACCAAAAAAUACACUUUUUCGUUACACGUACACAUGCUAAUGCAAAUUUGUCAUUUUGUAUCUUUCAAUCUUUACAAAAAAAAAAAAUUCAACAAGUCUUCGUUUUUUUUUUUUUUUCCGUUUCUAUUUUGUUUAUAUAUCUUAGUUUUAUGAUUUGUGAAACAUAAAUUUAAUUUUGUGAUUUGAGGAUAAAACAUGAUGAUAUGAUAAAAUAUAAAUCCGUACCACCUUAUUUUUACCAUCUUCCUAAAUAAUUACAUAGAAACAAUACAUGUAUAUAUCACAUAAAUAUAACUUUACCAAUCAAAACCAUAUAUUGUUACUCUUGUAUGUUUAAAAUUCUUAGAAAAUUGUAAUAAUUAUUAAGUUUUAUCAAAUAAAAAUGUUUAUAAUUUUUCAUUUAAAUUUUUUUUUUUUUAAGAAAUCUACUUAAAGACUCUACCAUUAGACAAAGAAAAUUUUAACGAUUCAUCAAAAACUCUUAACUUUAAUAUUGUCAAAAUUUAUAAUUAAAAUAUGUUUAAAUAUCCUUUUAAGAACUCAACUAUUGUUGUUGCUCUUAGAGCUUGGUUUUUCAGAAACAUGAAAGUAUAUAAUAUGGGUUGGCUAUGUUAUAGUAUUAGUUAAGUAAAUAGUCUUAAGUAUCAAUUUGUUGCUGCGAGCCUGCGAACACGAAUCCAAAGAUAAAUAUAUGGAAUUUAAAAGUCGUCCAGAAGAAGUUAAUAUAAGGAAGCUACGUCCCAACUACUUCAUUAUUAAAAACGGUCUCCAUUAUUGUUAUGAAAGUCGUGUUCACAUUCUCAUUUCCUUUCGCAAAAUAAAAUAAUAUGACUUGAUCAAUUGAACGUAGCUUUGCUUGACUUGUACAUAUGUGAGUGUGACCCCUUUCUCAAAAUUUAGCAAAUCGAUUAUAUUACCUGCACAAAAUACAUAUGUGGGCAAUGAGUUACAUGCGAAAGUUAAUAACUAUAAUAAUUUAUGGAGAAAUUCAAUUAACAUUAUUCAAUCCCAAAAGAAAAUACGAUUGUAACUUGUAUAUAUAAAAGAACAUACAAUUCUAAAAGGUUAGUCUUGCUGGUGUCUAAGUACAUUAUUGUGCCUUAUAGAUACAUAAAUUCAAGAACAAUUUACAGUGUGCUACCAUUUAGUAAACGAAUGAAUAUGUUUAUUUACACGUAGGUUGGGAUGAUAUAUCAUUCCUCUCGUCUCGCUGUCCUAAGAGAUGUGUCACUGUGUCAGGUAACUAUGGAUCGUUCCAUACUGAUGUAUAAAACUGCAACAAUCUCCAUAACCGUUGGGUUAGCAAGACCGAGUUGAAAUCUUUUAGAGUAUUUUGUUUAUUUUUCUCGAGAGUAAAUUCAAAAUACACAUUCGUGUUUCGAUUUACACAAAUAUUAUUUCGUUUUUUAUUUCAAAAAAAACAAAGCGGUAUUCGUAAUUACAAUGUUUUAAAAGAGGUGAAAUUGUUGUUUCCUAAAAUAUGAGUUGUUUGAGUAAGCACAAGUUGUCUAUAGAAAGAACUUUUAAUUUUAUUUGAUGUAGCUUCUCUUUUUUUUUUUUUUUUGUAUGAAGUUAAAUAUUCAUAAACUUUUAAUCAACUCUUCAACUUCUCGUUUGUAUGUACAUACUUUAUUGUUGGGUUGUAAUAAAUAUCUAAACAUGAUGCAGAACCUUUGCAUAGAGUACCAAUUCGGAUGAGCUGUCCUAUUUUUUUUUUAAUUUUUCUUCCAAUGUAUAUAUAAAUAUUAAUACUUUUGAAAUCUAUUUUUAUAACUACAAGUUGUACCAUUUUAUUCAUUGACUUAAAUAAUCAUUGUCCUCCAUCAUUUUUUAUUAAUACUAAAAGACCCUUCUCUUUUUUAUAACUUACAAGUUGUAUCAUUUUAUUCAUUGACUUAUAUAUGAUCAUCUUCUUCUCUGUAAAAUUCUGUAAGCAAGAAAGAUCGUUAAGGGGUUAAGGAGAGACUUGAAUCGUCGUUCCAUAGCUCAUCCAUAUUACCAGUAAGCUUUCUUCUUUAGAAUCAUGUCUUUGAUUAGAAUACAACCCAUCCCGCUUUACAAAGAGAACUCAGAUUAUUUUAUUGUCGACUGUUCAACUUCUCGUUUGUUUGUACUAAUUGUCUAAAAAAACUUGAUUCAGAAAAAAAAGUCUUUCACUUAUCGAAGAUGGGACUCAAUGAACCUUGCAUUUAUAGAGUACCAAGUCGGAUACGUGAUGUGAAACCUGAAGCCUAUACACCUCGUAUGGUCGUCAUUGGCCCACUUCAUCGUUAUCCCAAAUCAACUACCAUAGACGGGGCUGAAACUAGUAGCUAUCCAUGGUACGUGAAACACAAAAUAUAUAUUUAAUAUCUUGUAUUAUUAAAGAAAUUUUAUAUUAAUUUAAUUUAUUUAGUCGAUAAAAUGCAUUAAAAACUGAAGUUUUAUCUUAUACUUUAUAGAAUCCACAUAAAAAAAAAUAUUUUUUAUUCUAAUCAUAUUUGUUCAAAUAUACGAUAUAUAUUUUCAUGCAUAUUUACCCAAAAAAAAUAAUUAAGGCCUCUCAAAAAUAGACUCCAAACACCAACAAUGAGUUGGCCUAGUGGUUAAGCCCCUUGGUUACCGAUAAUGUAGGGACCUUGGAGGUCACGGGUUCGAUUCACGUUGGAGGUCAUGGUUUGGGCCUCGCCCUGGAGGAUGUACGGCCCUACAAGCUCAGAACCUCUAGUCAUCAAAAAAAAAAAAAAAAAAAAGGCUCCAAACUAUUGUUUCAAUUGGCUGCCGUUGAGGCCGGUCCUGCCAAUACUUUCUGUAUUUAGAUCCGAAUAUAUAUAAUAAGAUACUAAUUAGAAGAAUAUCUGGAAAUAUCACAAAAAUAAACUGCAUUUACAAAAAAUUAGAGCAUUUCUAUAUGAUAUUUAUUAUUUAGUUAUAUAUUAUUUAAUAUUUGUUGCUAUUAUCGACGGUUCAUCGACAUAAUAUGGUGAUGGAUGUUUAUUAGGCAUAUAAAACCAGAAUAUAGUAUGAUGGAAGCCAGAAAAAAGGUGUACUUCGAAACUUUUUCAAAAUAUGGAGAUGGUAUUGUGAAAAUGAGGAAAAUCGUACAAGGCGAGGAAAAAAAAAUUCGGGAUAGCUAUGAAGAAUCGACUGAAUGGAUACCAUCCGAAUACUUCGUGGACCUUAUCCUUCAUGAUGCUUUGUUCAUUAUGCAGUUCCUUCUUACUACGCGAAUUGGACGUUCAUAUGACGAGAUUCUGGGCCAAGAGUCAGUGGUUAGAAAUGAUUUAAUCUUGCUCGAGAAUCAACUUCCCUUUUUCAUCUUGGAUCGCUUGUUCAGUUCCGAUCGCUCUUUCAUGACCAAUGUGAUGUUAUUGCAUAGAUGUCCCACCAUUAAAGAUUUCAUCUUAAAUGCUUUUGGCCUAACAAUCGAAGAAAAUCCAAACUUCAAGCAUUUCACAGACAUGUUUCGGUACGUUUAUGAAAAAUCGCUAGACAACAUUCCAGGACAUGUGAAACUAACUCCCUGGAGUUGGCCACAUAACAUAGAGUUAAUGAACGCGGAUAAUCUAUCAAAAGGAGGAGUGAAAUUCAAGGUAAAGUUUAUUCUUUUCAAGUUUUCUAUAAGACUACUUUGUUUGGUGGGUCAUUAUCUGCUUUGAUUGGCAUGCAUAUUGUACAUACUAAGUACUCUAUAUCUGAAUUGAAUUUGUUUUAGUAUGAAAGAUUAAAAGAACUUUAGAAACUUAAUUGGAUUUCUAUAAACGACGUCGUUUUGAAAUAUUUUCUACCAUAGUAGUCUCAAUUCCUUUCCCUUUGUUUUUUUCAGCCAUCAGGUCUUUUGAAUUUAUACGACCCUGCUGCCAUACCCAUGUCUAUAUGGAGGACGCCUCCUAUGCCUAAUGAACUCAAAGACAUAAAAAGGUAUAUAACAUCAAAUAAAAAAUGUCAAUAGAAAUUCGACGUAAAAAAACUAAAUUAUUAAUAAUAAAUGAUACAAUAUAUGAUGUGACAUAAAUUAUUAUACGUCAGUUUUUUAUCAAUUAGUCAUAUUAAUUAAUACAAAUCAGUUUUCAUUUAUAUUUUUAUAUAAUAAUUCAUUUUUGAAAUAUUCAUGGGGGAAUUUCAAAAAUACUUUUUUUUCCAAAACUAUUUUUCAAAUAUACACAAUUUCUAAAACCUUAUCAAAAUGUCCAUAAAAAUAUGAGAUUUACCCAAAUACGUGUGUAACCUUAUUAAAACAUACUCAAACUAUUUUAUGUGUAAAACUUUAUAAAUACCUUGUAAAAGUUUAUAAAUACCUUGCAAAACCUUAUAAAAUCUUAUAAAAUAUCUUAUAAAACCAUAUAAAUUCUUGGAUCGAGUUUUCAAGUAAAAGUUACCAUCUAGAAGUAACUUAUAAACCCUAUAAAACUUUAUAAACUUUUCAUAUUUAAUGAUGGGUAUUUUUGAAAAUAGACACUUAAAUAGGACGUUUUUGAAAAGAAACACCACAAAAGAGACAUUUCUCAAAAUAAUCGAUAUACUUACCAAUUUUCAUUAACAUCAAUUACAAAAAUCCAGGAUUAGUAACACAAAUUACAAACGACAAAUUUGACAUCAUUAUCACAAUCGACAUUUAUAAAAUCAAUUACAAACGAUAAAAUAGUUGAAUCAAUUGAUUAAAUUGACACAAUUUUUUUGUAUCCUUAUUUUCAUAAUCACUUAAAUAAAUGAAGUAAAAUUUGUUUGCUUCAAGUAUAGUUAGUACCAGAGCCGUCCCUGAAGUUUUGGUGGCCACAAGCAAAUUUUUUUUUUUGGCUGAUAUUCCCUUUGAAAAAAGGGGAAAAAAAAUCUCUUUUGCUGGGGAUCGAACCUGCGACCAAAUCUUUGUGUGGCUAGUAUGUUUCCAGCUGAACUAAAGGAUUUUCAUGGAAAAAUGGGGCCGAUUUAGUAUAUAAAUAUAUUGGGGCCGCAAGCACUGGUGGCUUGUACUCCUGGCCGGCUCUGGUUAGUACAUGCAAAUAAAUGAUCAAAAUUAAUGACCUUAUUUGUUGUGCCUCGUACAGAGCGAUGUUUGGGGUGUUUUCGUUGCAUGUGGAGUUUAAGAAAGGUAGAUUAACGAUGCUGAGUUUUCGUGCUAAUCAAUGGUUUGAUAUGGUUCUAAGAAAUGUAAUAGCAUUUGAGCAGUGCCAUGUUUCUCUAAUACCCUUUACUACCAACUACGUACAUUUCUUAAAUUUUCUAAUUACUUCCGAUAGAGACGUCGAGGUACUCAGCGAAGAAGGUACAAACAUCACAAAAUUACUACAUUUAACUCUUAAUUGAUAUGGACACCAACAAUAAAUGCGUGUGUUGCUGGAACACAGGGGUGGUAACAAACAAUAUCGGUCGGGUGAGCUUGGUGGUGGACAUGGUGAACAAGUUACAGGUUGGUGUGAAAGUAGGGAACACCUCCCAAUACUUCUACAUAGCCGAGGAUCUCAGAGCUCACUGUAAAUCUCGAAGAAAGAGGUGUUGGGCGACUCUCAGAAAAGUCUACUUCAGCGACUUAUGGACCGGAACAGCAACUUUAGCCGCAGCGUUUCUCUUGCUUUUGACUCUGGUCGGAACGGUUGCUUCUGUCAUCCAAGCUUACAAAAGCUUCAAGUAAACUACAUAUGCUUUAUCGUCCAAAACUUUUUUCCAAGUUUUAUUUAAGCUUAUUCAUGUACUUUGGUGACUGGUUGUUUAUUUCUCAAAAAGAUUGUGUUUUUUAACACGGGACAAGACUAUGGAAUUUAUACAUUACUAGAUUUUGUAAUUUUGAUCUAAAAACUUUUCUAUUAAUAUAAAUUUUUAGUAUAACAUAUCAUCAUUAAAAUUUAAAAGAUAAUUAUUUGAGCAUAAAUAUAAUAAGUAAUAUACAACAUAUAUAUUGUCGACGAUAAUGUAUUUUUGACAAAUAAAUGAUUUGAUAUAUAUCACGUGGUAACAAAGAUCACUUAAGAAAUUCGCAAGAAGAAUAAACGGCAUCGAGGACCAUCUAAUGAUCAUUUAUCUUAUAUCUAAAAGAGUUUAUUUUAUAUUCAUAUUUCAUGAAGACAUUUGUUUAAAAGUUUUGAUGUUAAUUAUCGAUUGUUCGUACAUAACAUCAUUCCGUAUAAAAUGCGAAUACACCGUUUCAUGAACAUUAUUUAUUGUAAAAUAUUAUGUUGCUAGAACAGCUUUAGCGAAUUUUUUUUUACCCAUCAAAGCAAGUGCAGCGAGCCAUAAGAUAAUUCUUAAUUAAGUCAUUAAUGUGUUAUUUUAUCUUACUUUUCAUGAUUACAUGACCAAACGGUACAACUCAACUUUGAAUCUAAUAAUCUGUUUAAUAAUGGAUGUCAUGUAUUUUUCUAAGAACCUAUUCGUUUCACACAAUGAUGAGAUCUCAAAUAUUUUACCUUAGUCAUGUGCAUUAUCUUUCUAAGUUUUAGAAAUUUAUUUUUACACACUUUUAACUACCAAUUAUUUUGUCAUUUUCUAUGAUAAACUCGUUGCCGCUCGACAUAUACUUUCUUUUCACCUUCUAUUAACUCGCAUAUAAUAUAUAUUGGACUAUGAGUUGAUUUUCAAGACAUAUCAUAAUUAUUUUCUCCUUAAUUUUCAUCUUUCAAUACUUAAUUUUUUGGGUUAAAAGUAUUUGAUUCAAUUGUGAAAUAUCAAACUUGUUUUUCUUUUUGAUCAUGUUAUAAUAAAGUUGUAGUUUCACUUGAGAGUAUGCUACACAAAUUACAUAUCAUUUUUUUAACGGCUUACAUAUUAUUUUUUAUAUAUUUUGCUGUAGAACUCAUGAAUAAUGUGAUCAUUGAUUAUUAUUAUUUUUUAAAUGGAUGAUAAUGUUUUAAAAUUUUUAAGAUUUUUUAUAAUUUUGCAAGAUAAAGUGUGACUCUUACAAUAUCUUCUUCUUAAAUUGUAAAUUUAAGUUGAAUUUCAUAAUUUUUUAUUUUCUAAGUAAAAAUUUUUAUAAAGUAAAGUCUCAUCUUGUGUGUUGGCCGAAGUGAUAAUAGUCACAUUGAACCCCUGAAUAUGUUCGAAGAUCUCGAAAUGAUCUAUAAAAAAAAUAUGUAGUAUAUUAUUCUUGAAAACUAAUGUUUUACUUUAAAUUUUAUUUUCUUGUUUAAAAUUUACAUAUUGAAUUACAUAAAUUUAGUUUUAUUCUACCAAUCAUUUAAGUUUACUUCCAUUCUAAAAUUCAUUAACACAAUUAAAAAUUUGAAUUUUAAUUAUUUUUAAUUUUUAUCUGUUAAAAUUUGAAUUAUAUUAUUACUGCUAAUUAAAAAUUUAUAGUGUUUUUUUAUGAUUUUAACAUCUCAUAUAUUUUACAUAAUUUGUUUUUUUUAUUUAUUUAAAAUUUUCUUAAUUAUAAGUAAUAUAAAUAUGCAUUAAGUGAAUAUUUUUAAUUUAUUUUAAAGUAAAAUAAAUAGUAUUGCUUAUGUGGAUGAUGAUGUGGAUAGCCUAAAUAGAGAGAGAACUCUCCCAUUAUAUAUACUAGAUGAAUAUCCACGCUACGCGUGGAUUUAUUUUGAAAAUUGUGAAGAAAAAAUUAUUGAUUGUUCUUGCUAAUUUAUGUUUAUUUUUUAUUUGUUAUUAUGUAGGUAAUAAAACUAAAUCUUUCUUAUGUAGUUACAAUUUUUAAGAUAAGAUCUAUUUUUUUACUUGAAAUAUAACCCAGGAAAAAGACUUACUUGUCAGCUGAGACCUCUUGCUUGUUCCCGUAAUAUCCUUCAUCGUCCUCAUGGCUCUGCUAGUUGGUCAGAAGGUACUUUAUCAGCUUUCUCAAUAUCUAUUAUGGGUACAAAGUUUUUUUUUAUCAUUUUUGAAUGAGAUUUAUUGAACUCUCUCGUUUAUAUUUUCAGGGAUACAAAAAUUAUAGCUACAGAAUACGGACCUAACGCAGGAACGAAGAAGAACGAAUAUGCUGAGAAGGCUUGUUUUGAAGUCAUAUGGAAACCUUAGACCGGAUAGAUUGGUAAUCGGAAAUGCGCUUAGUUGUUCAAAAGGAGGCUUGUUUUGUUGCUUGAGUAUGUCGUACAGGUGAUUCUUGGUUUUUAGAUCUGAAUUACUUUUGCUUUGAAUAUUGAUAGGAAAAGAUGAAAGGGAGUAUGAAACGAUACUGAAAAGGACGCUACAGAGUAUUUGUGUUUUGACAGUUGUUCCAAAUACCACCACCUUAGUGGUAAUUCAGGUGAGUAGCUAUUCAAUGUUGUGUAUAUCGAUAUUGUCAACUUGAGUUGUAUCUGAUGUUUUCAUUUUGUAAUUCCCAUAUAGGUUGUACAUGAUGGUGGUUCUGUAUCGUUUUUAUGUUCCUUACACCUUGGUAAACAUUUACUGAUGUUAUCUGAAACACAUAUAAUCCGGUAUAAACAAUGUUUGUUUGAGUAUUUAUAGAGUUUAUAGUAGUGAAAGUUUGUAAUCCCAUAAGCUGAGAGUGUGAAUAUUUUUUUGUGUAACUUCUACUGUGGCCUCCAUUAUGGCAGUUAAAAGGUAGAAAAUGUUUGUUCUAAAGAAAUAUGAUGUACAUAAAGGGAGACUAUGAAGGAUCGAAUUUACGAAGUCGAGAAAUUUGUCUUGAGAUCCUUCUUCUUUCAUAUUGAAUGAUCGAGCAGAGAGUGGGAGAGAUUUAUUUUGUUAAAGUCUUGUGGAGAAUUAGAAUAUUUGUUGGGUUUAGAAGCAUUAAGCCUUUUUUUUUUUUAAUGGGCUCAACUCAUAAAUAUUACACUCUAAUAGAUUCUAAAACACAUAUGGUCCAUCUCUCAUGGGCUAUUUUGUUUUUCCAUUUGACACUUAUAAUUAGAAGCUGAUGUGUAUUAAUGAAAUGUUUUGAUUGGACGAAUAAAAAGCUGAUGUGUCAUCUCCAGAAGAGCCAAAAAUGCUGACGUGGCGGAAGGAUGGAGAGAGAUAGCCUCCUUUCAUAUAUACUAGAUGAAUACCCACGCUACGCGUGGGUUUGUUUUAAAAGUUGCUAAUAACAAAUUAUUUUGAUUGUUCUUGUUGCUAGUUAAUCACCCGCUAAUCAUUUACUCAUACAAUGAACAACUACUCUUAGUAUUAAAAUACAUUUUCAACCAACAUACUCAACAAUACAUGACUCACACAAUCCGUAAACAAUCUUUCCUAAACCAAUUUUAUAGAUGGUAAUGUUGGGAUUAUAGAACCUCUAAAAUUUGAUGAACUUACGUACUCUUCACCCUCAAUGUCAUAUAUAGAUCAAAAAAAUAAGAGAAAAACUUACUCAAACCAUUAGCUAAUCCACUAUACUAUUAUCCACUCAUAUUUUGAGUUAAGAUUACAAAAAUUAGCGGAAAAAAACUUUGGAGUAUAUAUAACCAAUAAAAUAAUUUCAUGGAAAAAUAACAUAAAAUAACAAAAUAAGUUAGUAUUAGUAAAAAUCAAUAUGUAAAAAAAAUUAAAUAAUAUAUAUAAUUAAAUAAUAAAUAUAUUAUUAACUUGUGAAAUAGAUUUUCAAAUUCAUAUGGGCCAUCCCUUAUGGACUAUUGUGUUUUCCCCAUUUGACAUUUAUAAUUAAAAGCUGAUGUGUAAAAAAUAAAAGAUGACUCAUAUUAAUGAAAUGUUUUGAUUGGAUGGAAAAAAAGCUGAUGUGGCAUCUCCAGAAGAGCCUAAAAUGCUGACGUGACGACCAUAUGGAGAGAGAUAACCUCUUUUCAUAUAUAUGAUGAUUUCGCCAAAAGUCCAUGGAUUAUUUCCAUGCCAUGAACCACAAAGACUAGGUGCCCAAACCCGGAAAUAUAUUACUCAAUGUAUACUUCUUCGCACCAAAACUAGAAGCAGAGCCAAAAAAUAAUAAUGAAAAAUUAACAUUGUUGAAGACUCGAACAAGAAUGGUGAAAGCCAAAACAGACCUGAAUGCUACCACUAGACUACAGAACAAUUACAAAGUUGAAUGCUAAACAAUUCAUAUACAUUAUCGACCGCAAGCAUGGACUUGCCCAUCUUGUACUCGUCACCGGCUCUAACUAGAAAGGUGACACGAAAACUAACUAAGAAUAUUGUUAACAAACUUUAAGGCUUUUACUUUUUCACUAAGUUUUUUAAGCAAUGGCUUGAGCAUCAUAAUGCUUUCUUCGGAACAGGCUCGUAAGAAUAGGGUAGGACAGGAAUGCAAUGGCGUAAAGCUCACAUCCAUUAUAAAAAAAAUUACAAAGAAAAAAUACCCAUAUUUUUAGAAAAAAAAAAGUUAAGAAAAUUAUUAAUAAAGGCCUUAAUUUCAUUAAAAAUAUAUUAGAAAAGCCCAAAUAAUUUGUUUUAAAUGAUUUCUUCUUUUUACAAAAAAAGCCCAAAUUUUCAAAAACAGUUAAAACUGCAAAAAAAUUUACUUGUAAAAGAUUUCAAAAAAUGCCAAAAAUAAUUUUCCGAUAACAAAAAGUCCAAUUUUUUUUUUUGCCUUAAGGCUCUAAUAUACUUUGAGUCAGGAAAUGCUUCGGAAGACACUACAUUAAUGGCUAAGUCUAGACACUACUUUGUUUUACGCACAAAGUAGUGGAUGCUCAUUAAAAGUGGUAUUGUUAGUCGAUUAACACUCUCGAGCCCAGAGUUGAACACCAAGUCUCAGCUAUGGUUAGGAGUAAUUCUGUGAUUCCGCUAAAAACCAUUAGUAAGAUUCCCUUUUAUUUUAAGUCGUCAAGAUAAGGGCUAGGGUUUAGAUGCCUCAACUUCUCUUUAGGUUUGGUUUCUUCCCUUGACUUAUAGCUCCGGUAAAGUACUGUUCCGGAGACAGUAUCUUCGUGAAAACUCUCUGCAGCUUGUUCAAAAGUAGACAACAAGGCUGGAGGACCAAUAAUGUUUUGGUAACAUGGCAAAAACCACAAAAUUAAGCAACAUCUAACUUUCUAUAGUAAAAAAAAAAAAAUUUAUAAGACUAUAAGCAUAACAUUUCUUUACAAACACAAAUUAAAAUAAUCAUAUACAUAAAUGAAAACAAAAACGAGUCAUAUCAAAUCUGUUGAGAAAUUGAGUAGUGAGAGGUUAACGAACAAUAAUCACUGCUUAUUCACAUUUUAUAGAGAAGAGAAGAACCAAAUCAAAUGGUUCCAAGCUUGAGGAAGAAAACAUAGGAGAUGCAAGCCAUGUAUCCAAAGAAGAACAAGACUUGCAUUUACCCCGAUUACUCGGUCCACGCAUAACAGUAGUACAAGCAAAAAGCGCACAUUGGCAAUCAAGUAAAUCCACCACAGACGAACAAUCUCCACCACCAUAUGGUCUUCAAAUGAUAGUUGCAAAGUACGUAAAUCAAACUGUGAAAAUGACCCUGCCGUUUGUACUUAAAUCCAAAAAUCUUGUUCAUCUUGAAUAAUAGAUAGGAAGAAACAAAUUGAUGUUGCUAAAAGAAAACAACGGACAUAUAAACUAGACUUUUUAAAUUCAAACUAACCAACUCUCGUUUUCUCCUUUUGCCACCUCCUCUUGGUUGAUUGGUUUAUCAAUGCCUUUCCUAAUCGCUUUGUUCUUUCCUUUUGCCUCCUUUAUGUAGCUUGAUUUGCACUACACUUGGAACAUAAGAGCACACAAGUGGCCAACAGUUUUUGUCUGCGGGUUCUCCAAGCUCCAAUUUCAUUAUGCAUCCAUCCUCUCCAAUGAUAUUUAUAGUGUCAUGAGUGAGGUCGCAUAUUGUUUUUCCUUCUUUUUCAAAAACCACAGCAACUUUCUUCUCCUCGUCAAUGAAGAAACUCUUAUAUGAGAGCUUACUGUCAAGGUAUGAUGUAUCCAUUGUGAAGAAUCUGCUCCACGACACAUUUUCAGCCUCAAUCUUAGUUGUAAUCCAUAUCUCAAACUUAAAUGUUUCGCUUGUCUGAAAUAAAGCAGCGAUCUUCUCUUCUCUAACCGAAGAUAGUGACGCAAACUCUGCACCCCAAGCACUAAAUGGCAGAGGCAAAAGCGGUCCAAAUCUCUCUCUUGUAAAAUCAAAACAGAUUAUAUGACUAAUAGGUGCGUAUUCAUUCCGUUCUACAGCACCCCAGUAAGUGUUUCCCUUGAUAGAAAGGCCACGCUGAGACAUUAUACGCCAGUGUGGAGAGACAUCAAGAGUGGUCCAUAAAUCAGAAUCAAAAUCGUAGAUUUCAUACCGUAAAGCGGGAUUCUCGGGGCGAAGUUUGAAAUCAUCUAUAAACCUCAAGAUUUUGGGGCUGCGACAAGAUCUGCUUUUGCUAUUAUUUUUGAAUCCGAGAGCGUACAUGUAAAUAUCUCGUCCUUUCCAGCCACCAGCGCGGUAAUACUUUCUGGUUUGGAUCCAUCUUGUUUGCCCCAAAUACGGAUUCCAAACCACAAUCUUAGUAUCAUCGUCUUUCAAGAUGCAUAACAAUAAACCGUCACAAUGAAAGACUUGAGAUAUCUUGACUUGUUCUGAAUCGUCUAGGCAAGUAAGUUUACCUAGAGACUCUGUGGAUGUAUUUUCAUUGACGACAAUUCCCAUUAAAUAAACAUUGUAAUCCAUCAUCACGAUCAUCCGAGUCUCCCCUAAUUCCCUUGCUGCUGCUUCUUUGUCAAUGUGCAUCUUCAUAAAGCUCCGGCUUUUGAACAAACCGUUCCACCUUUUGCAAGUUAAUCGCACUGAUCUCAUAAAUUUCAAGGGAACCAUAGAGACAAUCCGCUCUACCAAAUCUAUAGGAAGAUAGACAUCGUCAUCUUCAUCGUUUCAAGUUGAAACAAGGGACAUUCACCUCCAGAUUCAACUUUGGCUACAAUCACCUUGAGGUUAUCGAUUAACAGAGCGAAACUCUUUGACCUAACACCAUGACCCUUAUCUUUGAGGUCAAGCUCAAGUCCGAGAAGAU